ensembl:lncRNA
CCCACGCACACGGAUAGUGCAGGUGACCCUUUUUCCGGAGAAGUGGUGUCCCAAAUCCUCCUUUCUCAGGCUGUGACCGGAUGUGUUUCACUAGUGCCAAAAGUCUUAGCAGGUUUAGUAGAGAUUUUAUUUUUUCAAAAGAGAGAGAGAGUAAAUACAAAUAUUACUAAUUUAAAAAUAAUAUGGUGAUUGUUAUGCUUCAGGUUGUUCCAGCUUCAAGUAUUUUUGUGUAAUAUAUCAGAUCGAAUCUUGUAUUUUUGGAUUUGAAGGUGGUUAAAAAAAAAAAAAACGUAUACCUUUUCACCAGCUUUUGUGAUGGCCAAAGCAUUCAUAGUGCAGUGAAUUAAAAGCACACACCUAACAGAAAAUAUAUAUAUCGACGAAACUGCCAAGUCUGUCGCAACAAAACCGCAAAAAUAUUUAGAUGGUACUUUUGUUUUUUCCUUUCGCAAUGGUAAACAACAAACGGCAGUUAGCAUAAGCGCAUAAGCCGCAGUGACAGCUCGCUUUAUGCUAACAAAAUGGCCGCCCGUGUAGAUGUGAACCACUAUUUUAUAAUUAACCGUUGAUUCUGGAUUAUUGUGGCUAUCCUUACUGUCGUUUCUUUACAGUAUUGCAGUCAAUGGUGGUGGUGCUUGAAAAAUACCAGCUUUAACAUAAACAUUAAUGUAAUCAUAUCAUUAUUUCUCAAAGGCCAUAUAGAUGUACAUAGAUUUUGGCUUUUACUGCAGCGCGGAUGUAUCCAGUGCAAUUGAUGUCUGUUAUAUUAAUACAAGAUAUUUUUACAUGGUCAUAACCUCUUAAUAUAUGCUUUUUACACAUUUUAAAAACUACUAGGCCUUGAAGAAAGGGAGACACACAGCCAUAUUAUUUUUACAGUAUAUAUAAAUAUAUAUAUUGUCAAAAUCAGGAACCCUCAAUCAAUAUAUAAAUGCUUUUAAUUUACAAGAUACUUCUGCGAUUUUUCAACUCCAGCUCCUUUGAUAUAAAAAUUUUGUAUAUUGAAGUUCUUGUUUCCGUUGGUUCGUGUGUAAAGGUUGUUACAGUAGGAAACGUUUUGAUUUUAAAAUGGACAAAAAAAUAUAUUGUGAAGUCAUUGUAAAAUAGUGGGGAAGUGUACACUGUGUUUUUAAGAAGCUACGGCGGGAUAAGAGAAAAGGGGCGGACGUGAGGGUUUAUUAUCAGAGUGACCAAAGCAGAAGAGGACAAACUAUUUACACAAAAAUAUAGACAAACUAGUAGCACUUAAACCGAUUCUAGUACUUUUGUUAUUUUUGAUGGUAUCUUGUAUUGCUGUGAGGAAUUACUGGUCACUUUAAAAAAUAGAGGAUAAAAUUAUUGUGGUAAAUCUAGCCAAACAGAAUUGCACUACCCUCACACUGGCUGAUAAAGUCUAUUUUGUAUAAAAACUAAAACAUGCAAAUAUUAUCUUUUAAGUUUUAAGGGCAGAUGUUAUUCACUGGUAUAUUAUGGCUAUGGCUUUCACUGAAGUCCGUUUUGUUCGUAUUUCAGUUCAUGUAAAUGUAAUCUAAUGUAAAGUUCAAAAAGUAUAGAAUGUUUUGUUUUAAAAAAAAGACAAUAGUUUGUAUAACUUCUGUAUUACACCUCUUCUGUAGUCAUUGUUGAUAUUUUCACCUAUUUGAUUCAAUGUUGAAUUAAGCUAUCUGUGUUGUUCUUUGAUAUUGGAGUUAGCGUUGUGUCGGUAACAACUUUUCAUUUCUUUUAUUUCUGUUGUUUUUGUCAUCGCUGACUGAAAGUGAAAGAACUGAUUUCUCUUAGUUCAAACUAUCUUACACAAUAAAGUUUCCCAUUUUUCAAC